rnacentral:tRNA from 1 species
GGGCCCGUAGCUCAGCAAGGCAGAGCAGCGGACUCUUAAUCCGUCGGUCACGGGUUCAAUUCCCGCCGGGCCCGCCA